rnacentral:rRNA from 1 species
UGCAGUCGAGCGGAACGAGUUAACUGACCCUUCGGGUGACGUUAACGGCGUCGAGCGGCGGACGGGUGAGUAAUGCCUGGGAAAUUGCCCUGAUGUGGGGGAUAACCAUUGGAAACGAUGGCUAAUACCGCAUAAUGCCUUCGGGCCAAAGAGGGGGACCUUCGGGCCUCUCGCGUCAGGAUAUGCCCAGGUGGGAUUAGCUAGUUGGUGAGGUAAUGGCUCACCAAGGCGACGAUCCCUAGCUGGUCUGAGAGGAUGAUCAGCCACACUGGAACUGAGACACGGUCCAGACUCCUACGGGAGGCAGCAGUGGGGAAUAUUGCACAAUGGGCGCAAGCCUGAUGCAGCCAUGCCGCGUGUGUGAAGAAGGCCUUCGGGUUGUAAAGCACUUUCAGCAGUGAGGAAGGCGGAUACGUUAAUAGCGUAUUCGUUUGACGUUAGCUGCAGAAGAAGCACCGGCUAACUCCGUGCCAGCAGCCGCGGUAAUACGGAGGGUGCGAGCGUUAAUCGGAAUUACUGGGCGUAAAGCGCAUGCAGGUGGUUCGUUAAGUCAGAUGUGAAAGCCCGGGGCUCAACCUCGGAACUGCAUUUGAAACUGGCGGACUAGAGUACUGUAGAGGGGGGUAGAAUUU